UAAAAGAUAAGCUAAUUAAGCUAAUAGGUUCAUACCCUAUCUAUGAGAGCACUAAUCUCUCUCUUUUUA
rnacentral:tRNA from 1 species